rnacentral:rRNA from 1 species
UACGGAGGAUGCGAGCGUUAUCCGGAUUUAUUGGGUUUAAAGGGUGCGUAGGCGGAUCGUUAAGUCAGUGGUCAAAUUAAGGGGCUCAACCCCUUCCCGCCAUUGAAACUGGCGAUCUUGAGUGGAAGAGAAGUAUGCGGAAUGCGUGGUGUAGCGGUGAAAUGCAUAGAUAUCACGCAGAACCCCGAUUGCGAAGGCAGCAUGCCGGCUUCCUACUGACGCUGAAGCACGAAAGCGUGGGGAUCGAACAGG